GUUGUGUGCAGGUUUAUUGAGGAACAGAGGGGUCAGGAGGAAUUUCAGCGCAUCCAAUAACUCUCCUACUGGUGAGAUGCCUUCAGAUCCCAGGAACUUUGCCAGCUGUUCUCAGCUGUGGUGUGACUUCCCCUGUCAACAUUCUCCCUGCAGGAUAUCCCAUGGUCUGAGGCAAGGAGCCCUUCCUUGGGAAGGGAACUUGAACCCAUCCAGAGCAGGAGCUGAAGGGAGCCCAACAUCUCUCACUUUCCUGGACUUAAGUGCUGAGCCCAUGUGAGCUGUGCCUGCACUAACAGAACUGCAAGACUCAGUGCAGGAGAAGCAAUCAAGGAUGGAGUGACAACAAAAGCACCAGAUGCCACUGAUGCCUCUUCCACACUUCAGUCCCCAGGCAUCACAGCAGAACAAGGAACCCUCCUGACUCCAGGGUUUCCUAGUAAAGACAGAUUUGAAGAGGCACAGCCACUCUCCUAAGAGAUUAAAAAUAAAGUGCUGACAAAUUCUAUUGUCAAAUAAGCCUGUAAGAUCAGAAUUACAUAGUGUUAGGGUAUUUUACUCCAGUUAUACAGUCUAGAUCACAUUCAACUGCUCAUUUAGCCUAGCACAAAUCUCACUUAGUUAAUCCUCAGGGUAAGUUCCUUUCAAACAACCUUUAAAAUGAAAUGUUAAUGAAGGCCCAUAUUUUAAUCUUCUAUCCCUCCAUUUAUAAAGUGAUUUUUAAAUAUCACUGAAAGACAGCACUUGGAUACUAACAGUCCACUGCAAGGACUUCCACUGAGAAAACAAGGUGAAAAAAAUAGCCCUGUCCCCAAACACAGAAAUUGUACCAAAAAAAAAGGCCAAAUAAAGGUUUGUAACAAAUUUUACUUAUAGAAAAGCAUCAUUUUAGCAUCAUUUCACAAUAAAAAGACAAGAUCUGUUGGACAUUAUAAAGACAUGGUAUAUCAAUUCAGAAUGCAACAGGUAAAGCACACCAUAAUACUCAGUGUAAAAGUUUGAGACACACUAUUGUAUUUAGCCAGUUAGUCCUAGUGCCUCUUUGUGGAUAUUUUCUUAAUUACAGGAUAUUUUCUCUCUGCUUCAUACAUGCCAGAAGUAUAUUUUG